ACUGAUCGAUAUCGAAGUGAUCGCAGGUCUUUGGUUCUGGUUCUAUAAGUGAGACGAUCCCUGAACUACUGCAGAGGUGAAGCGGUGUUCAUGGGGGUGUAAAACCCGUUUUCCUGCUGCUCUUUAUCCUGCCUUCAUGACAGCUGAGCUCCUCCUUAUUGAAACAGAGUAAUUGAAGGAUUUACAUUGUUUUGACUCCUCUCCUCCUCCUGAUAAAUCAGCUCCUCUAAUGGAGGCCACCAGCUCCGACUGGGUGAGGGGGGGUUCAUGCAGAAGGACAAGGGUUGUUGGUGGCGUGCUGAGUGGUAACGGCCAUGACACAUUAAGUAGGACUCGUUCAUUUAUUCCGUAAUAAGGACUUGGCAAACCUGCCUCUGCUGGAUCACGAGGGGGUCGGCAUUAAUCCUUCACAAAUGAGAGACUCAGCUGAGCUCCAGAAGAGAGAUAUUUACUAAUGUAACCGAGAAAAAACACACAGAGGGUCGUGUUGUUGUUGAUUCAGAGACAACCAGGAUAGUUUGGGGGUUUUUGUAAAAGGAGAGAUCGACAAACCUGCAGCCUCAAAACGGUCUGUAACAGCUGCAAACUCAUCUUUCUGGACAAAUCUCCAACAAACUACAUCCUCAAAAGUUCCUGUUUCUGUCGACCAGAUUGUCGUUCGUAGGGAUUAGUAUCGUCCGGGAACCUCUGAUCAUUUUUGUGUCUGUGUUUUUAUUCCAGAGCGAAUCGACUUGAGCUGUAAUUUGUAAAAUGAAAACUCACAUACAAACAUAUCUAAUGUACAGGUCUAUUAAGAGUUAUAAUCCUGUCUGAAGUAACGUCUCACAGUUCAGGUCAGUUUUGUUUUCUGUGUUUUUAUUCCAGAGCGAAUGGACUUGAGCUGUAAUUUGUAAAAUGAAAACUCACAUACAAACAUAUCUAAUGUACAGGUCUAUUAAGAGUUUUAAUCCUGUCUGAAGUAACGUCUCACAGUUCAGGUCAGUUUUGUUCUUCUGCCCUUUCUCUGCUC